CGCCUGUUUAUCAAAAACAUCGCCUCUUGCUAAAAAAGAAGUAUUAGAGGUCCCGCCUGCCCUGUGACCACAGUGUUUAACGGCCGCGGUAUCCUGACCGUGCGAAGGUAGCGUAAUCACUUGUCUUUUAAAUGAAGACCUGUAUGAAUGGCAUCACGAAGGUUCAACUGUCUCCUUCCCCCAGUCAAUGAAAUUGAUCUGCCCGUGCAGAAGCGGACAUAAAAACAUAAGACGAGAAGACCCUGUGGAGCUUUAGGCCAAGGAUCAAACAUGUAAAACAGACUCAAACCCUAAAAAGAAUAAUAAAAGUCCAAAAACCAAGAGUAACCUGAUCCUAAUGCCUUCGGUUGGGGCGACCGCGGGGGAAAAUAAAGCCCCCACAUGGAAUGGAACUACUUCCUAAACCAAGAGUUACAACUCUAAGUAACAGAAUUUCUGACCACCUAUGACCCAGGACAAACAUAAACCUGAUCAAUGAACCAAGUUACCCCAGGGAUAACAGCGCAAUCCUUUCCCAGAGUCCAUAUCGACGAAAGGGUUUACGACCUCGAUGUUGGAUCAGGACAUCCUAAUGGUGCAGCCGCUAUUAAGGGUUCGUUUGUUCAACGAUUAAUAGUCCUACGUGAUCUGAGUC
rnacentral:rRNA from 1 species